rnacentral:rRNA from 1 species
GAUGAACGCUAGCGGCAGGCUUAACACAUGCAAGUCGAGGGGUAUGCCGAUUUAUCGGCAGAGACCGGCGCACGGGUGCGUAACGCGUAUGCAAUCUACCUUUCACAGAGGGAUAGCCCAGAGAAAUUUGGAUUAAUACCUCAUAGUAUAGCAGUUUCGCAUGAAACCACUAUUAAAGUUCCAACGGUGAAAGAUGAGCAAUGCGUCCCAUUAGCUAGAUGGUAAGGUAACGGCUUACCAUGGCUACGAUGGGUAGGGGUCCUGAGAGGAGAUCCCCACACUGGUACUGAGACACGACCAGACUCCUACGGGAGGCAGCAGUGA